GCCCUAGAAAUCUGAAAUUGAAGUCGCUGAACCCCAGUUCGAGAUGCCGCCACUUCGAAGUCUCGAGAUCGAGUUCCCAAUACUCGACGCUAGAUUCCGGCGAUUCUGCGCCUCUCACGGCAUUUUCUCAGUGGAGGAUUUUCUUGUCCACGACUUCAGCAAGUUAGUUUCACUAGCCGAAGCUGAGGCAGGGCCGAAAGAGUUGAAGGAGGGGAUCUCUCAAAUUCUCUCUAUAAUAGAUGGUCAGCACCAACCAUGGUUGAAUGGAGUGCAGUUGCUUGAGGAUACUUUGCAGAAUAAGCAUUUUCUUUCCACCGGAUAUGAAGGGAUUGAUAUGCUUCUUGGAGGAGGACUGCGAGAGGGUCAAUUGACAGAAAUAGUUGGGCCAUCAUCUUCGGGGAAAACACAGGUUUGUUUACAUGUUGCUUCACAUGUUGCAGACAGUCAUUUGGGUGUUGUGUUCUUGGAUACAUCCAAUUCCUUUUCUGCUCACCGCGUUGCUUGCAUCAUAAAUCAGUUAUCAGGCCCCUUAGCUAAAGAGGUCAAUGAAAGAAGGGUUCAAAGGAUAAUGACCGGUAUAACAUGUCAGUCAGUUUAUGACAUAUUUGUGCUGCUGGAUGUACUGCACCAACUUGAAUUCUCAUUAAAGGUGAAAAGUGAAAGUGCCAAGACAAGCGUAUUGAUUAUCGAUUCAAUCUCAUCUCUGAUAGCCCCCGUCCUUGGAGGCAAAGAUUCUCAGGGGCGAUUGUUGAUGAUAUCAGCUGGAUUUUUAUUGAAGAAACUAGCAGAUGAAUACAAUCUUGCUGUACUAGUAACAAAUCAUAUGGUCAGUGGAGAGGGAGGAAGUUUGAAGCCUGCCUUGGGAGAGAGUUGGAAGAGUGUACCUCAUGUACGGCUGCUAUUAUCUCGCAAUCAAGGGAGCAACAUUGGCAACAUGUCUGUUUUAAAGCACACAUUUGUGGCUUGUGGUGAUACUGCAGAGUUUGUGAUUGCAGAUGAAGCUGCCUAAAUUAUAUGGGAUAUGAGAGAAAGAGAAAGAGUUGAAGAUAACAAACGAAGCUAGGCGGUGAAAAUAACUCCGAGUCCAGUCCCUUUGUUUGAGAGUGGCCCUGUUUGGCUUUUAUACCAGAGGUGAUAAAAACCGGUGAGCGGCAUCACUCAGUAGCUGGCAAUGCUGGAUUCAGUAGAUUUGCGAAAGACACGAGAAUCCAUUUCCACCAGUGUUAGGAGCGACAGAGUCGUUUCCUUUGUCCUUAGCUUUUCUGAAUUUUGAAACACGGGUGAAAUGUGAACCAACCAGGUGCUGCAUAUGAAGCUAUUUUUGCCUGCAAGGAGUUACAUUGAGAGGUAUUCUCAUUUCUCUUGUCUUUAGGGGUUGUUUGGUUGCAGCAGUCACAAUUGAAUGUAUGCAUCUGAGAUAUUUUGGGUCAGGUGCAGUUAUUUGUCCGUCAAACUUUCAAUCAUUUCGUACUAGCCCCUCGUGUAUAUGAAAUUGCUCAUGAGUCCCUUAGAUCCCAAGGUUUCUUGCAAUUUCGUCUCUCAGUGACCAAAAUGUCCCUCAGUGAUAUUUUUGAAAAUAACAAACGAAGCUAGGCGGUGAAAAUAACUCCGAGUCCAGUCCCUUUGUUUGAGAGUGGCCCUGUUUGGCUUUUAUACCUGAGGUGAUAAAAACCGGUGAGCGGCAUCACUCAGUAGCUGGCAAUGCUGGAUUCAGUAGAUUUGCGAAAGACACGAGAAUCCAUUUCCACCAGUGUUAGGAGCGACAGAGUCGUUUCCUUUGUCCUUAGCUCCUCUGAAUUUUGAAACACGGGUGAAAUGUGAACCAACCAGGUGCUGCAUAUGAAGCUAUCUUUGCCUGCAAGGAGUUACAUUGAGAGAUUCUGCUUAUCAUUUGGGCAUCCGAUUAUUGGCCUACUGCAUGUUGACCGGCCAAUCGGGCUUUGCCAAGUAAGCAGCAAUUAUCACACAUGAGGGUUAUUCAGACAUAGAGGGACGCAAAUUUUUUGGACUUGGAUGGGUUCGCGUUGCGGUCUUGCACGCAACAACGGUAGCUUGGUUCUGCUUCUUUUGGACGGUUGUACAGUGUGCCGGCGUGAGAAAUUCUUGUGCGCGCACGAGCGGUCCCCGUGCAAAUUUGCUCGCUUGCGCGCGCAUGGAAAAUUGUGAACGCUGGUAUAUAUUUUGUUUCAAUUUUAUUUGCCUUGUACCCGUAUUUUGUUAUAUCUUAUUUGGCACUAUCUAUAAGUAAUCAAUACUAAAUAACAUGUCCUAUACGUUUGCGCU